rnacentral:rRNA from 1 species
GAUGAACGCUAGCGGCGGGCCUAACACAUGCAAGUCGAGGGGUAACUAGAGUGAUAGCAAUAUUACUUUGGCUAGACCGGCGCACGGGUGCGUAACACGUAUGCAACCUACCUUAUACUGGGGAAUAACUUCGAGAAAUCGGCGCUAAUACCCCAUAACACUGCGGAGAGGCAUCUCUUUGCAGUUAAAGCUCCGGCGGUAUAAGAUGGGCAUGCGUCCAAUUAGCUGGUUGGUGAGGUAACGGCUCACCAAGGCUACGAUUGGUAGGGGUUCAGGGAGGAUGAUCCCCCACACUGGUACUGAGACACGGACCAGACUCCUACGGGAGGCAGCAGUGAGGAAUAUUGCGCAAUGGACGAAAGUCUGACGCAGCCAUGCCGCGUGCAGGAUGACGGCCCUAUGGGUUGUAAACUGCUUUUGUACGGGAAUAAACCCUUCUACGUGUAGGAGGCUGAAGGUACCGUAAGAAUAAGCACCGGCUAACUCCGUGCCAGCCGCCGCCGUAA